rnacentral:rRNA from 1 species
UAAGGAAUAUUGGUCAAUGGACGCAAGUCUGAACCUAGCCAUGCCGCGUGGAGGAUGAAGGCCCUCUGGGUUGGUAAACUUCGUUUUACAGGGGACGAAACCACUUUAUUCUUAGAGUGUUGACGGUACCCUGGGAAUAAGCACCGGCUAACUCCGUGCCAGCAGCCGCGGUAAUACGGAGGGUGCAAGCGUUAUCCGGAUUCACUGGGUU